UUAAGUUAUUAAGGGCAUACGGUGGAUGACUUGGGAAUAGGAGCCGAUGAAGGACGUGGUUACCUGCGAUAAGCCUUGGGGAGCUGGAAAUCAGCGUUGAUCCAGGGAUUUCCGAAUGGGGAAACCCACCAAGAUAAUUGGUAUCUUAAAAGUGAAUUCAUAGCUUUUAAGAAGGGAACCUAGGGAAUUGAAACAUCUUAGUACCUAGAGGAAAAAAAAGAGAAUUCGAUUUUGUUAGUAGCGGCGAGCGAAAACAAAGAAGCCCAAACCAUUAUUACUUCGUGUAUUAAUGGGGUUGUAGGACUAGCGUUAUAGAAGUUACAAAUUGUUUUUAUAGAGGAAGUAGUUGGGAAACUACAUCAUAGAGGGUUAAAGUCCCGUACUCGAAAUGAAAACAACUUCUUGCUUGAUCCUGAGUAAGACGGAGCACGUGAAAUUCUGUCUGAAUCUACCCAGACCACUGGGUAAGGCUAAAUACUACCUAUUCACCGAUAGUGAACCAGUACCGUGAGGGAAAGUUGAAAAGAACCCCGGGAGGGGAGUGAAAUAGAUCCUGAAACCAUAUUGCCUACAAAAAGUCAGAGCAGGUUAAUCUGUGAUGGCGUGCCUUUUGCAGAAUGAGCCGGCGAGUUACAAUUACAUGCAAGGUUAAGAUAAAUCGGAGCCGUAGGGAAACCGAGUCUGAAUAGGGCGAUUUAGUAUGUGGUUGUAGACCCGAAACCAGGUGAUCUAUCCAUGAGCAGGAUGAAGUAAAGGUAAAACUUUAUGGAGGUCCGAACCAGUAAACGUUGUAAAGUUUUUGGAUGACUUGUGGAUAGCGGUGAAAUUCCAAACGAACCUGGAUAUAGCUGGUUCUCUCCGAAAUAGCUUUAGGGCUAGCGUCGUGGUUAAGCAUAAUGAGGGUAGAGCACUGAUUAUAUGAUGGCCUCAUCUCGAGGUACUGAAUAUAGCCAAACUCCGAAUAUCAUUAUUGUAUACACGGCAGUCAGUCUAUGGGUGAUAACGUCCAUAGGCGCGAGGGAAACAACCCAGACCAUCAAUUAAGGUCCCCAAAUUUAUGCUAAGUGGGAAAGGAAGUAUAAAUCCUAUAACAGCUUGUAUGUUGGCUUAGAAGCAGCCAUCAUUUAAAGAGUGCGUAAUAGCUCACAAGUCAAGGAUUUAUGUGCCGAAGAUUUAACGGGGCUAAAGCAUAAUACCGAAAUUAUGGAUUUUCUUAUUAUAUAAGAAAGUGGUAGGAGAGCGUUCUAUACGGAGCGAAGCUAGACCGUGAGGACUAGUGGACUGUAUAGAAGUGAGAAUGCCGGCGUGAGUACCGAUUGAAGGUGAGAAUCCUUCACGCCGAAUGCGCAAGGUUUCCUGGGGAAGGUUCGUCCACCCAGGGUUAGUCGGGAUCUAAGGCGAGGCCGAAAGGCGUAGUCGAUGACCAACAGGUUGAUAUUCCUGUACCGUAAUAUAAAGGGAUGGAGUGACGGAGAAGGUUAGGUAAUGCAAGUCAUUGGUUGUACUUGUCCAAGCAAUAAGAUGGUUGAAUAGGCAAAUCCGUUCAAUUUAUAACAUUGAGUUGUGAUGGGGAGCGAAAUCAUUUAUGAGAUUAGCGAAGUUACUGACAUCAUGCUUCCAAGAAAAGCUUCUACUGUUAAUUUAUAUUAUGCCCGUACCGAUAACCAACACUGGUGCGCGAGGAGAAUAUCCUAAGGCGAGCGAGAGAACCGGAGCUAAGGAACUCGGCAAAAUAACCCCGUAAGUUAGCAAUAAGGGGUACCAAUUUAUUUGGUCGCAGUAAAGAGGUCCAGCCAACUGUUUAUCAAAAACACAGCUCUCUGCUAAAGUGUAAACUGAAGUAUAGGGGGUGACGCCUGCCCGGUGCUGGAAGGUUAAGUGAAUGUGUUAGUUUCUUUUUUGAAACGAGGCACUGAAAUGAAGCCCCAGUGAACGGCGGCUGUAACUAUAACGGUCCUAAGGUAGCGAAAUUCCUUGUCAGGUAAGUUCUGACCCGCACGAAUGGUGUAAUGAUCUGGACGCUGUCUCGGCUUCGGGCUCGGUGAAAUCUUAGUCCCUGUGAAAAUGCAGGGUAGACGCAGUAAGACAAUAAGACCCCGUGAAGCUUUACUACAACUUCGUAUUGAAUUUUGGUAUAAAAUGUACAGGAUAGGUGGGAGUUACUGAUUUAAUGACGCUAGUUAUUAAUGAAACACCCUUGGGAUACCACCCUUUUUAUAUUGAAAUUCUAACUUGCAACCUUUAUCAGGUUGAAGGACAGUGCGUGGCGGGUAGUUUGACUGGGGCGGUCGCCUCCUAAAAAGUAACGGAGGCGCACAAAGUUACACUCAAUACGGUCGGAAAUCGUAUGUAGAGCGCAAAAGUAUAAGUGUGACUGACUGUGAGACUUACAAGUCGAGCAGGGUCGAAAGACGGUUUUAGUGAUCCGCUGGUUCUGUGUGGAAAGGCCAGCGCUCAACGGAUAAAAGUUACUCCGGGGAUAACAGGCUUAUCUCCCCCAAGAGUUCACAUCGACGGGGAGGUUUGGCACCUCGAUGUCGGCUCGUCUCAUCCUGGAGCUGUAGUUGGUUCCAAGGGUUGGGCUGUUCGCCCAUUAAAGAGGCACGCGAGCUGGGUUCAGAACGUCGUGAGACAGUUUGGUCCAUAUCUACUGUGUCCGUAGGAUAUUUGAGGAGAGCUUCCCCUAGUACGAGAGGACCGGGGUGGACGUACCACUGGUGUUCCAGUUGUCUUGCCAAAGGCAUCGCUGGGUAGCUAUGUACGGAAUCGAUAAAUACUGAAAGCAUCUAAGUAUGAAGCGAACUCCAAGAUAAGAUAUCCCACUCAAUUUAUUGAGGUAAGUUCCCUUAUAGACUAUGAGGUUGAUAGGUUGGAGGUGUAAGUGCAGUAAUGUAUUUAGCUGACCAAUACUAAUAGAACGAGGACUUAAU
rnacentral:rRNA from 1 species